rnacentral:rRNA from 1 species
CGGACGGGUGAGUAAUGUCUGGGAAACUGCCCGAUGGAGGGGGAUAACUACUGGAAACGGUAGCUAAUACCGCAUAACGUCGCAAGACCAAAGAGGGGACCUUCGGGCCUCUUGCCAUCGGAUGUGCCCAGAUGGGAUUAGCUGGUAGGUGGGGUAACGGCUCACCUAGGCGACGAUCCCUAGCUGGUCUGAGAGGAUGACCAGCCACACUGGAACUGAGACACGGUCCAG